rnacentral:rRNA from 1 species
UACGUAGGGGGCUAGCGUUGUCCGGAAUCAUUGGGCGUAAAGCGCGCGUAGGCGGCCCGGUAAGUCCGCUGUAAAAGUCAAAGGCUCAACCUUUGAAUGUCAGUGGAUACUGCCGGGCUAGAGUCCGGAAGAGGCGAGUGGAACUCCUGGUGUAGCGGUGGAAUGCGCAGAUAUCAGGAAGAACACCGACGGCGAAGGCAGCUCGCUGGGACGGUACUGACGCUGAGGUGCGAAAGCGUGGGGAGCAAACAGG